ACCUUAUCCUAAUCUACCUAAUUUCCAGCUGCAAGGAGGAUAUCUAAAUGACAUUAGGAUACCUACAAAUCAAGUUUCUAGAAGCCAAGCCCUAUCCCUAAAAGGGUGACGCAUCCACCCAUUCUAGAAGCUAUGUUUCCUGCCGUAAGGACCAUUCCCCUUCUUCUCAGCCCUUUGACAUGCCUUCCCUUAUCUCUUUAAAUUUCAUUGUGUCGCAGCAAUCAUACAUCAUCCAUCUCUCACCACAAUUCACAACACACAUCCAUCAUACACAGAAAUCUCUCUAUUGUCGCAGCCUUGCAAGGAGAAAGGAGAUAAGACCCUUGGAGUCGUGCCCUACCAUUCAAGCUUGGAUUGCUGGAAUGUUCCUAGGUGUAUUCUAUCUUUUGUUUUCAAUGUUUAAUUUAAGUUAUCUUUGUUUAAGUGCGAACAUGUGGAACUAAUUUCAUUUUAGCUAGAGGUGAAUUCAAAGUCAUGAACAUAUGUGUGAUAUGAAUUGAUUACAUCCAGUUAUUGUUUCAUAAAUCGUGAAUGCAAUUUACUUAUCUGUUUGAUUAAUAACUUAUUCUUGUAUGUUGAUUAAGGAUGCAUACUUAGUUUGCAUGCAGCGAUUUGAUGCUAAAAUAUAUGGGAGUUUUACCUAAUAGUUAUGAACUUAUAUUUACAAGUAGUGGAGGUUGCUAGUCACGAUCGCGUUAAGUAAAUUCAUGGCAGGAGUAUCAUGCAGUUCAUAGUUAUGAAUGUCAUGUCAAUGCUUAUGAUUUUCACAUAACUUAAUGAUCUUUGAUAUGUAUCUCUAUUAUGCAGUUCAUGUAGGGAACUUGAUA
rnacentral:lncRNA from 1 species